rnacentral:lncRNA from 1 species
CUAGGCAGGUGCAUGGCUGCUUGACUAGGGACUGCAUUUCCCAGCAUCCUCAGUGAUAAAUUAUGAUCAUGUGACUAAGUUAUCACCAAUCAGAUGAGUGGAAAUGUUGUGGCUCGCUUCUGGGUCUGGACUUCAAAAUAUCCCUGCAUGCCGUCUCCAACUUCUCUUCCUCCUCCUUGCACAUGGAAUCCUUUCGUGGUGGUGACCCAGCUUCAAUCAGGCAGAGGACCAUGAGGGCCUAGAGGCUGGCAGAGCAAUGAGUGGAAGGAACCUGGGUUUCUGAACGACCACGAGGAGAGAGCUUCCCACUCACCUGGACUGCUCAUCUCAGAAUUGCUACAUGAGCGAAAAAGAAACUGAUAUCCUUUCCACUGCUGCGUUCUGGAAUCUCCUUGUCAGCCUGCUCUACCAAAUACACUGAGUAAGUAGGAGUUAGCCCUGUGAAAAGAGGGAGAGAAGACACUCCAAAGCACCCAGGGCUUUUGGAAAGAGUAAGAGUGGAAACAGGACUUUUUUCAUGGAACAUCUCCUGUGUCCUCAGUCCUGUGCCAGCCUCUCUAUCUUUGAAGGGAAACCAUUCAUCUUCUGCUCAUAAUCUAUGUGGCCACAGAGAAUUGUCACCAUCCUUUGUCUCCAAGGAAAGGCCAUGUCUUCUCAUACCCUAUGGUGGAUGCAGAAAAGUUUCCUGACAUCUUCCUGUCAGUCCGGCAGAUGGUUAUCAGCGGUUCCCUCUUCCUCUAGCCUUCUAAUCAUGCAUCUAC